UGGGGUUGUGCUCAGUGGUAGAGCGCUUGCCUUGCACGUUUGAGGCCCUGGGUUCGAUCCUCAGCACCACAU
rfam:Ictidomys tridecemlineatus contig073373, whole genome shotgun sequence.